GGGGGUGCCCCGGUUUCGACUGAAGGAUUGUCGGGGGAUAGGCUGCAAGUAGAGCGUUAACUCUUUAAACUGGCAAAAACUAUAAAUGCUGAAGAAAACGAAUCUUUUGCAAUGGCUGCUUAGUUAGCCGACGGAUCCGGAACCUGCUGUUCCUAAGGAACUGGAAUCCGACAACAAUAGGAACUUACUGGUGCUAUAGUCCGGGAUAGUAUCAGGACAUUUUUCCGGUCUCAGGGUAAUGAGGUCUGUGGCUUCACCUAACGUUAUCCGAAAUAAUAUGAAGCGACUAAACUUGUAGAGGUUUAUUUCACGCCCUUUAGGACGCGGGUUCGAUUCCCGCCACCUCCAAAA
rnacentral:tmRNA from 1 species